rnacentral:lncRNA from 1 species
GUUCAAGUUUACUUAAUGAAUUUUAAUAAAGAAAGAUACAUAUGAAAAACAUUUAUUGCUGUUUCUCUCUCCAUUUAUAACAUUUUAUUUGUUUAUUUUGUGUAUUUAUAGGUGAUCAGACAUCUUGGUUUUCAUGAUCAAUAGGUCAUUACUGAAGAGGAAACUUAAAGUUGAAAUUUAUUUACAAAGUGCAUAAUUGGAUUAAUUUGAACUGGAAUGUGUGCUUUCCUGCAAAAAAGAAACAGGAAAUUUCAUCAUUAUCACAUGAUAAUGCCCAUAAACAAAAUGGAGUUCUAUCAUAGAUACACAAAAACACUAUUGCAUAAAAGCAACAACAUAUUAUAUAUAUUAUUCGAAAGAAAGGAGAAUGCAGAACAAAUACUAUUUUGUUGUUGAAAAAAGGAACACCAGUUUUAUCCACUCAUUUACAUCGCUCCCUCAUAUCAAAUAUACGGAAGAAGAUCAUUGAAGAACAAUUUGCAAAAAUGUUUUCUCUUAGAAUUGAAGGAAAAUGUUAAGUGAAUGGAAUAAUGUAUUCACUGAAUUCUUACGUAGUGGAUUGAAUAACUGUACACAAGCUGAAACAGAAGAAAAUUUUAAUUUAAAAUAACACGAAAAGUGUAUAUUUUAUUAUUUAAUCUGCAAAUAUAUAAACAAAUUCUUUAGAACACCACAAAUGGUAUGACAUUCAAAUUGGUUGCUUAUUAAUGUAUUGCAUUGAAACAAUUACAAAGAAAAC